AUUCAUACGUUUUUAAAGUCUAUACAAUUAAUAAUGUUUUUUACCGAGCUUCACAGAUAUAUUGGUAUCAUCUACUAACCAUUAUCUAUUGAACAAAAAGGUGUAAUAUUUAGCUGCGUAUUUUUGCGCAACUCGUUGUAGUAAGCCGUUGAAUUUUGUUUCCCGGUAGGCGAACGAACGAAAUCGUGGUUGCCGGUGUUGAUAUCGUCCGCCGUCAAUGAUCACGAACAUGUCGAGAGUAGACGUGGUGCUGUUCAGGGUUUGGCGUUCGCUCAAUGCGUUCUCUCACGAUGAUUAUCACUUGUCAACCGUGUCCGAGGGAACCCGGGUCACUAGAUUGCAUCCGCAGUCGGCAGCUAACGGGAAAUCGUCUUUACCGGAUGAUCGCCUUUGAACGGAACAAAUUGUUAAGUGGUCAGUGGUCACGGACAAUACAGG